CUGGCAGGCAAAAGUUGCUUACAAUAAAAAAUAUAUUGACUUGAAACUUCAAAUGUCAUGUAAAUUCAGAUUGAGUAGGAUAUGUAAAUAUUUUAAAACGGAACAAUUUAUCACAAAAUAAGAAGUGAAAAUAAACAUACCUUCAUAAAUUCAAGAUGUGUUGGCUAGGCUGGGCAGCUAUAUUUUCGUUGUUUUCCUAUGUAUAUAAUGGACCACUAGUACCCCCACCACCAAAAUAACGUUUUAAAAAUGGAAGGUACCGAGGAUAAAAUCAAGUGGAUGUCUUGAAGAAAAGAAUUGUCAGUAAAAAUGUAACUUGUUGUAUAUAUUUUACUCAUAUUUUACAAAUAAAAUUUUAUUAUAUUCAUUA